rnacentral:piRNA from 1 species
UCCUGGUAAAUAAGAAAUCUA